rnacentral:rRNA from 1 species
GUGAACGCUGGCGGUAGGCCUAACACCUGCAAGUCGAACGGCAGCACAGUAAGAGCUUGCUCUUACGGGUGGCGAGUGGCGGACGGGUGAGGAAUACAUCGGAAUCUACUUUUUCGUGGGGGAUAACGUAGGGAAACUUACGCUAAUACCGCAUACGACCUACGGGUGAAAGCAGGGGAUCUUCGGACCUUGCGCGAUUGAAUGAGCCGAUGUCGGAUUAGCUAGUUGGCGGGGUAAAGGCCCACCAAGGCGACGAUCCGUAGCUGGUCUGAGAGGAUGAUCAGCCACACUGGAACUGAGACACGGUCCAGACUCCUACGGGAGGCAGCAGUGGGGAAUAUUGGACAAUGGGCGCAAGCCUGAUCCAGCCAUACCGCGUGGGUGAAGAAGGCCUUCAGGUUGUAAAGCCCUUUUGUUGGGAAAGAAAAGCAGCAGGUUAAUACCCCGCUGUUCCGACGGUACCCAAAGAAUAAGCACCGGCUAACUUCGUG